UAAUACGUAGGUGGCGAGCGUUGUCCGGAUUUACUGGGCGUAAAGAGCGCGCAGGCGGUCGUGCAAGUCGCGUGUGAAAGCCCCCGGCUCAACUGGGGAGGGUCACGCGAUACUGCUCGACUCGAAGGCAGGAGAGGGAAGUGGAAUUCCCGGUGUAGUGGUGAAAUGCGUAGAUAUCGGGAGGAACACCAGUGGCGAAGGCGACUUCCUGGCCUGUUCUUGACGCUGAGGCGCGAAAGCUAGGGUAGCAAACGGGAUUAGAUACCCCGGUAGUCCUAGCCGUAAACGAUGGACACUAGGUGUUGGUGGUAUCAACCCCGCCAGUGCCGAAGCUAACGCAUUAAGUGUCCCGCCUGGGGAGUACGGCCGCAAGGCUA
rnacentral:rRNA from 1 species